ACGUGGUCUUGUUAGUGAGAUUCCGACUUCUGUGUAGCAUAAGCGUCAUAGAAAGAAAGCAGUCAAAAUGGCGUCGGUUAUAGGAUCAGAAGUGGAGAUCCAAGAGGUUGAAGUGGAGUCUAUCCCUGUUGAAAUGCCUAUUGAGACUGUGGAAACAACAGACGAUACAGUCGAAGUACAACCUAUGAUUGCUCUACAGCCAUUACCUGAAGCGGCCCAAGAAGAGAUUGUUCUGCAGACUCGUGAGGAGGUGGUUGGUGAUCCGAACCUCGUGUAUGCUGACAGCAUCCCCGUACCAGCUCCAGAGAUUGAAAUAUCCACAGAAGAAGCGACCAUCACCCGGAAAGGCAAAGGUGGUAAGAGACGAGCCAAUAAAUCACGAAAUAUGAUAUCGACAUCAGCUGUAAAUUGUGGAGAACUGACGCUAGACACUAACUCUGCUACGAAGAAAUGGGAACAAAAGCAAGUACAGAUCAAAACUUUAGAAGGCGAAUUCUCAGUAACAAUGUGGGCUACAGGAUCUGAAGAUAAAUCCAAGCUGGAAGAUGAAAGUGUGUCGAGUGUCUCUGAAACAGAUGCAGAUUUUACUGAAUAUAUGACAGGGAAAAAGCUUCCACCAGGUGGCAUACCUGGGCUUGAUUUAAGUGAUCCGAAACAGCUGGCAGAAUUUGCACGUAACACCUCUACAGUACGUGCGAGGAAAGAAAAACGUGACCUGACCGUUGACCUGGAUGGGCUUUACCAUUCGCGCCUUUCUGGAAUAAAACCAAGAAAGCCUACUGAUGAUGUUCCCCGUACAGUGCCCUGCCCUCACAAGGGUUGUAAUAAAAUGUUCAGAGAUAAUUCUGCUAUGAGAAAACACCUUCACACACACGGCCCUCGGGUCCAUGUGUGCGCUGAAUGUGGUAAAGCAUUUGUUGAAAGUUCCAAACUGAAAAGGCAUCAGUUAGUUCACACUGGUGAAAAACCAUUCCAGUGUACAUUUGAAGGGUGUGGCAAGCGGUUUUCUCUUGACUUUAAUUUAAGGACACAUGUACGAAUACACACUGGUGAUAGACCUUAUGUCUGUCCAUUUGAUGGCUGCAACAAAAAAUUUGCUCAGUCUACAAAUUUGAAAUCUCAUAUCCUCACACAUGCUAAAGCAAAAACGAGAUGUGCAGAUGAACUGAAUCUAAUGCAGGGAAUUGGCAUAUGUAGUUAUGAUGAUGGGAGUGAAUUGCUUAUGCUCUAGUCCACGGUGCUCACGUCGGCGAGCCUGAGACACCACAAGCCCCCUGAAUUUAAUGGUCUCUAAACUCAAGAAGCUUCCUGCUGGAAAAUACUGUAUAUUGUGAGGAAGAAGCAGAUGAUUGUUAGCAGCCUUUCUUUCCUGGAUUCCU
rnacentral:misc_RNA from 1 species